GCACUCCGUCGCUGCUGUCGGGCAGUGAACUUCCCAGCGGGGUGAGUUCUCCUUUAAGAAAGUGAACUGUUCCUUAUGCAUAUUUAAGGAUGUUUGUCUGCAGCAGUGCCCAGCUGACGUGGGGCCGGAGGCUCACACGCGGGACCCGAAUCCUCGGGGAGUAAAUCAUCCGCGCUUUACACGCACUCUCUGCCAGGGCUCCAGUGGGGAGCCCCUUGCCAUUGCGCUAAACACAUCCCAGGGGAUCCUGACCCGCUCAGCAUGCGUGCAGCCCUACGGUACCCAAGCAGUGGGGUUUCGGAGCUCCCCACUCCUUUCGCCCUCCCCGGCAGCGCUUUGCUGGGUGCGCAGGUGGCCGUGUGAGGAGCGGAGGGGAGCGCCGGGAGGGGGAUUGGGACAAUAGCUGGAGUGGAUUAUUCAUUCCCGUAGGCAAUACUUCCCUGUAUGGGCUUCAGGAUGCAGUUGGAGGCUUGGGAACAAAGCGGGCAUCUAAUGUCAAGUCUCCUUCCUAGGAAGAAAUAAUUCUGCUGGGACCCCUUGCCUAGACUUUGGAGGGCAUGGCACAGAAGUGUAAUCGGAAAGCACUAUCCCUGUGGAUAGAAACUCUCCUCUCUAUGGUGCACCUUGCAAGAAAGGCAGAGAGGGGACAGUUGGAGUGACCUGGCAUCGAGGAGCAGCAACCCACUUCAUGCUACUGCGGAGGAAAGUUUGUUUCCAAACCAAAUAUGCUAUGGUGCUCAGUACUGGCAUCAAGUCAGUUCGAGCCAUCCCAGGUCUUAAAAUAAAGAUCUCCAUUUGUGGCA